rnacentral:rRNA from 1 species
UUGGAAAUAGCUUGGGUCAAGGUAGCAAACGUUCCAUUGGAGAGGAGGAAUGAGAGAAAUGUGGCUUAUGUUGCAUCUCUGGUAGGUGUACCACUUGAAAUCGACAUGGCCACCCUACAUAAGCCAGAAUUUGUACGGGUCCGGCUUGGAUGUCGCAAUGUGAUGAACUACCUGGAGUUGCAGAAGCAGUCUUGGGCACACAUUUCUUUGACUUCUUUUACGAAGUUGACAAGGUUUUGA